UGGGGAAUAUUGGACAAUGGGCGCAAGCCUGAUCCAGCCAUGCCGCGUGUGUGAAGAAGGCCUUUUGGUUGUAAAGCACUUUAAGCGAGGAGGAGGCUACUUGGAUUUAUACUCUAAGAUAGUGGACGUUACUCGCAGAAUAAGCACCGGCUAACUCUGUGCCAGCAGCCGCGGUAAUACAGAGGGUGCGAGCGUUAAUCGGAUUUACUGGGCGUAAAGCGUGCGUAGGCGGCUUCUUAAGUCGGAUGUGAAAUCCCUGAGCUUAACUUAGGAAUUGCAUUCGAUACUGGGAAGCUAGAGUAUGGGAGAGGAUGGUAGAAUUCCAGGUGUAGCGGUGAAAUGCGUAGAGAUCUGGAGGAAUACCGAUGGCGAAGGCAGCCAUCUGGCCUAAUACUGACGCUGAGGUACGAAAGCAUGGGGAGCAAACAGG
rnacentral:rRNA from 1 species